GGGCCCGUAGCUCAGCCUGGAUUAGAGCGGCGGCCUCCUAAGCCGUAGGUCGUGGGUUCAAAUCCCACCGGGCCCGCCA
rnacentral:tRNA from 1 species